GCUUCUUCUCAUUUCUUUUUUUCUCCCCUUCAUCUCUCUCUUUUUGCUUCAGAUCUGAAUCCUAGGGAAGCUCCGCGAGCUUCGGCCCCAAGAGCGAGCAGUGCGGAGCGCUAGCGGCAGGGGAGGUGCGGCGCGACGGCGGGAUUCCCGAGCGGCUGCGGCGGCGUCUCCAGUUGGUGGAGCUCCGCGAGCGGUGCGGCGCGACGCCGGCCUUCCUGAGGAGGCGCGACGGCCUUUCAAGGGAGCCGUGACAGCGGCGGCAGGGACCUCCCCGGGCGCUCGCCCCUAGCGGCGGCGGCGAGCUUCACGGGGUAGAUGGAUGACAAUACUGAUUCGGAAGGUGUCCGGUCAAGUAAUGAAGCUAAAAGAUCGAAUCAAACCUCCAGAGAAGAUGAACACACAAGCACCUGUGAUGGCGCCGGCGGCUCUUCAAGAGCGGCAGUGCCAAUGAAUUUGGAAGGAUGUUCAGUAUGUGCCCCCCAUCAACAACUGCUGUUAUUUUUGUUUUUGUUUUUUCAUGCCGCUACAUAUGGCCUUAGGAGACCUUAGCAGUAAAUUUAUAACAAGGUUUAUAUCAGAGACCUUAGCAGUAAAGUUUUUUAUGUGUUAGUUAAUUUUUUAUAUGGAUAUGUUCUGUAUCUGGCGGCCAUCUUUUUUUUUGGUUGAUAACUUUUGACCAAUUUUUUUCACCUUUUAUAUCAUCACAAAAAUCUUUUUCAUCUACCAAAAUUCCCCCUGUAAAAAGUUUUCCUGUAAAAGUUAUACGGUACUAUGUUAUCACUUCGACAAUGACAAAAUUUUUUGCUUCUGUUCACACAAACUUUUAUACCAUCGAUGUACAACUUUUGUAUUUGGUAAUUUUUUUCAUCAAAAAGUUUCUCCACCAAACUUUUUCUCACACCUUCAACAUAAUUUAUUUCUUUGCAACAAAAUUUUGUCUCUCGUGUCAGUUAAUUUUUUUAUGGACAAGUUCUGUAUGCAAGGGCAGAAGUUUUCUUAGCAUUUUCAGCACCAUAGAAGUGUCUCAAAAGUUUUGCAGCUAUAAUUUUUUUUCUAUGAACAAGUUCUUUCUGAUGAGUAUAGUUCAAUGGACAUUUUUCUUUCUACUCAAUUGUUUUAUGCACCAAAAUUUAAAUCUACUAGUAUCAUGACAAAGCAAUUGCAUAUUAUUCUGAGGCUGAUUCCAACAAAAACCAUAUUCAGUUUUUUUUGCAUAUUACUUAAUUUUUUUCUCCUAUAUAAUUGAAUUUAUUUUUUUUGUUUCUCAAAAUACUACCCAGCUCUGACAAUAUUACUUAAAUUUUAUUUUUCUCCUAUAUAAUUGAAUUGAAUUCAUUUUUUCUCCUAUAUAAGUUUUUUAUUCAAAAAAAUUAUGAUAAAUAUUUUUUCUCUUAAAUUUUUUCAUUCCAAAAUUUUAUGAUAAAUAUUUUAUUCUUUUCUCAGAAGCAUUUUUUCAGUAGUGAUCAUGAUAAAUAUUUUUAUUAUCUUAAACUUUAUACAAGUUUGAAAAUAUUUUUUUCCUAUUCUUUUUCUUCUGAGUUUUUGUUUGCGGAUAGAACUUAUUAUGCUAAAUAUUUUUACUAUGCAUAAUUUUUUCAUUUUGAAAUCUUUUUUCUGCCUCAUAAAGUUUUCUGAUAUAUUUUUUUAUUCUCAGCUUAACAUAAAAUUCUUUUCUCCUAUAUUUAUCGUUUGCAGAAAUCUAGCUCCAAUUCUCACUUGCGAAGAUGACUAGACUUGUUGGUAGACUGUCAAAAGUUCAGAAAGAGAUUGUUACAUCAUGUGGAUUUGGGUCACUACUUGCUCUUAGCUGCUCAUCCAUCCCAAACAAUCUAGUAAUUUGGCUGGCAAAACAUUAUGAUUCCAGAUCCAAGUCUGUAAAGCUUCCAGGUGGCAUACUCAUUCCAACUGAUUAGGGUCCGUCACGUCAACCUGCCAUACUCGGCCCAACUGAUUAGGGCCAGUCACGCCAACCUGUCAUACUCAGCCCAACUGAUUAGGGCCAAUCACGUCAUCCUACCAUACUCGGCCCAACCAGUUAGGGUUGUUUGGGUUUUUAGGGUUCGACUUUGUUACCAUAUGUCUUGAUUUUUAGUAUAUAUAUGAAGGUUGACUUGCCAUAAUUGGCUCAACUGAUUAGGGUCACUAACGUCCACCUACCAUACUCGGCCCAAUUGAUUAGGGUCAGUCACGUCAUCCUGUCAUACUCGGCCCAACUGAUUAGGGCCAAUCACAUUAUCCUACUAUACUCAGCCCAACGAGUUAGGGUUGUCUGGGUUUUAGUGUUCGACUCAAUCAUCAUAUCCUGUCAUACUUGGGUUUUAGUGUUGACUUGCCAUACUUGUCCCAACUGAUUAGGGCCAAUCACGUUCUCCGGCCAUACACGGCCCAACUGAUUAGGGCCAAUCAUUAUCAACCAGCCAUACUCAUUCCAACUGAUUAGGGUCCGUCACGUCAACUUGCCAUACUCGGCCCAACUGAUUAAGGACAGUCACGUCAUCCUACUAUGCUCGGCCCAAUUGAUUAGGGCCAAUCACGUCAUCCUACCAUACUCGGCCCAACCAGUUAGGGUUGUCUGGGUUUUAAGGUUUGACUUCGUCACCAUAUGCUUUGUAGUUUUGUCAAGUGUUCAACUAGCUCGAGCUAUCAGGUGAUUUAUUGUAGUUUCAUUUAUGACUUUGUCUGCAUACGACAAGGCUAGUUCAUGUGGGGGUUUUACAGUCCUUGCUCACUGAUGAGUCAAUUUGAUUAGUGCUUUGGCGGAUGUGUUGUUUGCUUGUUAUUAUGAUUUCGUUUGUGAACUAGCCAUACAAUCUAGAUGGAUCUAUCUUCAUGUAGCUUAGCGAUGUUGAUAUUUUGAUGCUUUAUGCCAGUUCUAAGUGCAAUUUAUUGUCUGCAUCUAGAAGGCCUUAGUUCUUUUCGCCUCAUUUGUAGCUAGGGAAUUGAUGAAGAUUGGCUCUUAUUGAUAUAUUAGUAUAUUCUGUUCGGUAUUUGAAUCGUGGCUUGGGGUUUGAGCUUGGCAUAGGAUUGACUUUGUGCUAUUGGGCUUUGCGAGUCUAGAUUUAGUUGCAGACUUGCAGUUUGGCGCUUUUGCUUUCAAUUUAUAUGUUCUGGUUUUGGUUAACUGGACACAAGUGCCCAUGAAUUAUUUGAUUUAACACACCCAUCUGCCAAUUUGGAUGGUGCUUACAUGUUUUGUAUCUGUUUUGGUAUUCAGAUCCUAACAUUUAAAAUGUAUUUGCACAUGAAACUUAUAUGGCCCCUCCGUAUGGUUAUUUGCUAAUUUUAUGGUUCCUUCUUGAUCCUUGUCAUGAAUCGUGUUUUAGUAGUAUCUGUAGGACCACCUGAAACGUGCUUUGAGCAUUUUUGGACAUGGCCCAGGAAUUCACUUGAACACUAGUGAGCUCUAUGAGUCUAGAUUUUCGUUCCGGUUUAGUUUUUAUUCUCUAACUCUAUAUGUUCUUUGUUUUUUUUAAAAAAAGUUCGCUGCCAGGAAAAGGUUGUAAUUGAAUUCAGCAGGUUUUUGCUAAUAAUUUUGUUUAUUGCUAAUGAAUGGUAUAUUCUACCAUGACACAGACCAAAUUGACCAUCUGUGAAGGAGAAGAUGGCACUGAGUCAUCUAAUGGAGAUGUGUUGAUCUUUCCAGAUAUGAUCAGAUACAAAGCCUUCUAACUAAUAAGCUUGUUUAGGCUUUUAAAGCCAACUGCUUCUUAUUUUUCAAUCUGUAACAUAAUGCUUGCAGAGGUCUGACUCAUUUUGACGUCGACAACUUUGUUGAAGAAGCACUUGUGAAGGAUACUGAGUGGCUUCCUGGAUCUCCUGAGGCUAUCGACGAGUCCUAUGUCUUCACCUUCUUCAUCAUUUCUUUUAAUUAAAUUUUAUUUCUAUCUCUAUAAACCAGGGUGUAAUUCUGGAGAACAACAUUGCAGGGACCAGAAGGAGCCAUACUUGAAGAUUUCCAAACAGGCAUCAUUGCGUUGUUAGACCACUAAGUAACGUCAAAAAAAAGUUUGCAGGAAGAAAAUAUUUCUAUUUUUUAUGCGCACC